ACCAACCAAAAAAAUAACUGUCAUCAUUAUAAUAUUUUAAUUAAUUUAAUUUAUUUCCACCUAAACCUUUUUUGUGCUUUUUGUUUCGUCGAAGACUUUUUUGUUUUUCUGGAUGAUGGUUAGUUACGAGCUUUAUUCUCUCCCCAGCCCGUGCCCUUUUAAUAUGAAGCUAUAAAACGCAUUCACGCAUUUUCCCAACCCGUCGAAUUCGCUCUUUAUUUCGCCCUCGCAACGCUCUUAAAUGUGUACGUGAAAUUCCUACUUAUUUACAUUCGCACAUUACUGCAAGCUAAGCGGCAACCAACAAUACAAACAGCGUGGGCGCUUGCAAAUACGAGUAAACCCUAAGAUCAACCAAGUCAAAGCGGUGACUUUCUUAAUUUCACGCACAAAUAUAUAGCACGGAAAUGAAUUGCGAGUAAUACGCUUUUAUAUUGCGGUAAAAUAGUUCGUAGUAAAUUAAAUGUUGAAUGGGUUUUAUUUUUUCUUGGAAAGCUUAUGGAAUGGUUGAUCACAGGCUGUAUAUUGCAAUGAGCUACUCAAAUGUGUUAUUUACUGCGUUUUCUGUGGAAUUACUCCCCGGACGUAACGCAAAUUGCUUUGCUUGAUGUUGUUUCCGGUUUUGCUUGCUUUCUUCCAUGUGAAUCUAGCGUGAUAUUGACUUGAGGUCUAGCAUAAUUAUCACAGUAUUGAUUUAUCUGCAUGUUGUAUUUUAAAUUUCAAAACAAUGUGUGUUUGCGACGCUUUUACGGAAAAACCACGGAAGCAAUUUUUAUCAUUUUUGGUAAAAAGAUAUUUUAGAUCAAGGAAAAGGAAAUAAGAUAUUGAAUAAGAUAUGGAAUUAAUUAUAGUUAUCUAUAAUAUAAAAAUGAAUUGCAAAAUCUGUUGGUAAGCGCAUAACUCAACAACGCUUAGACCAAUUUGGCCAAUUCUUUUUUAAAUAUUUGUUAAAGUCCAAAGAUGGUUCUAACGGCGAGAAAAACUCGAAUAAUUACCGGGGACAGCCCUUUUGUAUAGGAUAAAAGUUGGCAUUGAGAUUAAAUCAUUAUAGUUAAAUAGUUGAAUCCGAGAUGUCGUGCUACAGUGCAUUAUUAUCAAUUCUUUAUAUAAUUAAUUUCUUUAAAAUAAUAUUGCGAAUCUUAUUGAUAGAAUUGGCACAUACUCCUACUAUGUCUAAAACAAGAGAGUAAAAACAAAUUACAUUUUUAUUAAACACUACCGGAACAAAAUCGUGGGCAAAAGCUAGUAAUUAUAUAAUUAGAUAAGGGUUAAGUUUAUUAUUAGUCUAUCUUGUCUCUUAAAAUUAAAAUUGAGAAUAUUAUUGACGAAUUGGGAAAUUUUAUUGACAGCUGAUGAAUAUUAUAAAAGCAUUAAUAUAGUUAUUUAGGUUCAAACAUUCCAAGAAUUAUUUACAUUACAAUUCAAUGACAUAGAGUGAUAACCUACAGAUAAACAAAUUUAUAUAUAAGUUUAAAAAUAUCAAUGAACUGUUUAAUUCUGCAAUUACUGUCAAGCAUACACUUGUUACAAAUUGCGCGUCUAAAAAUGAAGAAAACAUCGGUAAUAUUUUUUCUUGUGGCAGUAGUAUUGUUAAAUCUUAUUCAAAUCAAUGCACAAAAACCUGGAAAAUGUCCUCGUAUAACUGGCGAAUGUGAUAUGUCGAUGCCAUUCCGACACUGUUUUACAGAUUAUUGUUGUCCUAGAGAACAAGUUUGUUGCCCAGAUGCUUGUGAACGAAUGGCAUGUUUCACGCCCAGUCCGGAUGAAGUAAUUCCUGCAGUUGUUUAAAUUUAAACUGUUUUGGAAGAUAUAAAUAUUUUAAUUAUAUUAUAAUUGCCACAAGAUGGGAUUUAUUAUUGGAACACAAAAUGAAACAGUAAAUAGGAUACUAAUCAACGUUUACUUAUCGUAACUGUAAUUACAGCAGUAAAUUAAGCGUUACAUAAUUAAACAAUAAAUGUGUGGUGCGCUUAUGAAGCCCAGCAGUUGCUAGAUGGGAUAAAUUACGAUCAAAUACAACCGUUUGUUAUCAAUAAAGCAAUAAAACAAAACAUAUAUAACUACA